rnacentral:rRNA from 1 species
ACUCCUACGGGAGGCAGCAGUGGGGAAUAUUGCACAAUGGGCGCAAGCCUGAUGCAGCGACGCCGCGUGAGGGAUGACGGCCUUCGGGUUGUAAACCUCUUUCAGCAGGGACGAAGCGCAAGUGACGGUACCUGUAGAAGAAGCACCGGCCAACUACGUGCCAGCAGCCGCGGUAAUACGUAGGGUGCGAGCGUUGUCCGGAAUUACUGGGCGUAAAGAGCUCGUAGGUGGUUUGUCGCGUUGUUCGUGAAAACUCACAGCUCAACUGUGGGCGUGCGGGCGAUACGGGCAGACUGGAGUACUGCAGGGGAGACUGGAAUUCCUGGUGUAGCGGUGGAAUGCGCAGAUAUCAGGAGGAACACCGGUGGCGAAGGCGGGUCUCUGGGCAGUAACUGACGCUGAGGAGCGAAAGCGUGGGGAGCGAACAGGAUUAGAUACCCUGGUAGUCCACGCCGUAAACGGUGGGUACUAGGUGUGGGUUUCCUUCCUUGGGAUCCGUGCCGUAGCUAACGCAUUAAGUACCCCGCCUGGGGAGUACGGCCGCAAGGCUAAAACUCAAAGAAAUUGACGGGGGCCCGCACAAGCGGCGGAGCAUGUGGAUUAAUUCGAUGCAACGCGAAGAACCUUACCUGGGUUUGACAUGCACAGGAUGCCGGCAGAGAUGUCGGUUCCCUUGUGGCCUGUGUGCAGGUGGUGCAUGGCUGUCGUCAGCUCGUGUCGUGAGAUGUUGGGUUAAGUCCCGCAACGAGCGCAACCCUUGUCUCAUGUUGCCAGCGCGUUAUGGCGGGGACUCGUGAGAGACUGCCGGGGUCAACUCGGA